AACGUAGGAGGCGAGCGUUAUCCGGAUUUACUGGGCGUAAAGCGCGUGCAGGCGGUUCGGCAAGUUGGAUGUGAAAGCUCCUGGCUCAACUAGGAGAGGUCGUUCAAAACUACCGAACUUGAGGGCAUCAGAGGAAAGUGGAAUUCCCGGUGUAGUGGUGAAAUGCGUAGAUAUCGGGAGGAACACCAGUGGCGAAAGCGACUUUCUGGGAUGCAUCUGACGCUCAGACGCGAAAGCUAGGGUAGCAAACGGG
rnacentral:rRNA from 1 species